AAGUCGUAACAAGGUUUCCGUAGGUGAACCUGCGGAAGGAUCAUUAACACUGUUUUAACUUACAGUUUUAAAACUCAAAACUCGUGAACAGGCUCUUAACCGAGUCUCCCUCUCCCCUAUUUUUUAUUAAAACCCCAACACCUUCACUUUAUCUUCCGCAAGGAAAUGAACUGAACAAAUACAAACAACGAAAAAACAUUUCUCUCGGGAUUUGUUACUAGUUAAUGAAAUGCUGAACAACUCUUAACAACGGAUAUCUUGGUUCUC
rnacentral:misc_RNA from 1 species